rnacentral:lncRNA from 1 species
AGGGUACGUAGACAUUUGACGCAAGUUUUCCCCCUUUUUAUAUCUAAUAUCAUACGUAUGGUAAUAUAACUCAUUAACAAUAUAAAGUAGAGGACUAGAGUCUUUUGAUUUGAGGUCCUUGGUUUAUAACCUUGAAAUUGAGCUCAAGGUCAUAUGCUAAUUAAACGUUCUAGAUUUUGACCUUUGCUUUUACCUCAUAUGUACACAUGAUAAAGCCAUGGGACUUUUUGCAUUAAGUUGUAAGCAAUGUGACCUUAAAAAAACACAACCGGAAGUGACCUUUUGUAAACCGGAAGUAGCUUUUUUUUGUACUAAAUCAAUGUAAAAGUAUAUAGAACCAUAUAUUUUUGGAAUCAGUGUCAAGUAAACUAUCAAACAAUACCGGAAGUAAACUUUUUAAA